AGCGAACGUUAGCGGCGGGCCUAACACAUGCAAGUCGAGCGAGAAAGGGGGUUCGCCCCCGAGUACAGCGGCGGACGGGUGAGUAACACGUAGGUAAUUUUCCCUUGAGCGGGGGACAACGUUCCGAAAGGGACGCUAAUACCGCAUAAGUUCUUGGGUGCUUCGGCACUGGAGAGGAAAGCUAGGCCGCAAGGUCUGGCACUCGAGGAGAAGCCUGCGUCGCAUCAGCUAGUUGGUGGGGUAAUGGCCUACCAAGGCAAAGACGCGUAGCUGGUCUGAGAGGAUGAUCAGCCACACUGGGACUGAGACACGGCCCAGACUCCUACGGGAGGCAGCAGUGGGGAAUAUUGGGCAAUGGGCGAAAGCCUGAUCCAGCAAUGCCGCGUGAGUGAUGAAGGCCUUAGGGUUGUAAAGCUCUUUUACCCGGGAUGAUAAUGACAGUACCGGGAGAAUAAGCCCCGGCUAACUCCGUGCCAGCAGCCGCGGUAAU
rnacentral:rRNA from 1 species